CAGUAGCCGCGGGAAUACAGAGGGUGCAAGCGUUAAUCGGAAUUACUGGGCGUAAAGCGCGCGUAGGUGGUUUGUUAAGUUGGAUGUGAAAUCCUUGGGCUCAACCUGGGAACUGCAUCCAAAACUGGCAAGCUAGAGUAUGGUAGAGGGUGGUGGAAUUUCCUGUGUAGCGGUGAAAUGCGUAGAUAUAGGAAGGAACACCAGUGGCGAAGGCGACCACCUGGACUGAUACUGACACUGAGGUGCGAAAGCGUGGGGAGCAAACAGGAUUAGAUACCCGAGUAGUCCCUGUCUCUUAUAC
rnacentral:rRNA from 1 species